AUGUCUCAAAUUAACUGUACAAAAUCCUAAGGGGUUGUUUAAACACAAACUAUUUAUGUGAACUUAAAAAUUCUUACAUCCAGAGGGUGGCAGUAUAGUGCGAUGCGAACUGCCAUAAACCCCAAAUAAGAAGAAGAAGAGCAUGACUCGCCAGACUACACGUGCACAAAGAUAAUUCACAGCAAUUCUCUGCAAACCUGCUUGACUCCUGCAAAGUUUUUCCUCGAUUGGUUUGGACAGAGGGACGUCUUACCUCUUCAACGGCUGGUAAAGGUCCUUAAUAAAGGGUGUGUUUUGUGUUCCUGCCAAGGUGCUUCACUCACAGUAGGAGACGGGAGGUAGUCAGAGACCAACCCAUGAUAUCAGAGUUCAAGACUAGAUGGCCAGGACUGUUCACUGUGCCUGAGGUGCAAGCCGAAUUUCUGAGGAUUACCACUGUUCCCCUCAUCACAAAGUUUUUUGCACAACUUGAUUACCACGCUGAUCAGCUCAUCAGAUUGCUGAAGAAGGCAGGUGGAUCUAAAGGAAGGCAAAUUGACCUCAUCUUUGCCCCGACUGCACAGAAUGAAAUCGCUGAAAAGAAGAGGGAGUGCCUCCUCACAGCACUCUGUAUCUAUCUAAAUGAAAAUCCUUAAGUCUCUUCAAAGAGUAUAUGGAUUCAGAUGGCUGUGCUGCCCAGAGGGAGCUUGAUCAACUUGUCAUUAAUGCUGAGGGAACUGAUGCCACCAGCACUCCAGUUGAUGUUGGAAUAGUGAUUGAGGGUGUUGAAGUGCUUCAUGACUUGGGAGACAUAGCUUCUGCAUGUGCAAACUUAAUGGGUAUCAUAUAUGCAAUGAACCUCAGCUAUCCUCAGGAACUGAAAAUGUUCUUUGAGGUGCUUCAGAAAAUCUUCCUCCAACUGGAUGCUUCCAGACUCUCACCCAAGGUACAGAUGAUUUAAAACAAACUGUUUGACUGAACCAACAUUGAACGUUUGGCGUUUUACACAAAGGCCCGAUUUGCACUUGAAACUAUUUAAUUGAAAAACUAAACUUUUCUUUUUUUGUGACGCGCCUCUGUUCUGGGUGACGUGUGUUUGUCAUGUAUGUACUUAAAACGAUGAGUGAACCAACAUUGAGCUCUUAAAAGUUUGUUAAACGCCACAAAUGCCUGCUUUGCACUUGAAACCCUUUUUAUUGAAAACACUUGAAAAAUGGUAUACAUUUGAUCUUUUUUGUGUGGACGCACCAGUGUUCUGGGUGACAUGUUUCUCUGUCAUGUAUGUACUUAAACAAUGAGUGAACCAACAUUUAGCACUUAAAAGUUUGUGGCGUUUUAACAUAAUGGCCUGCUUUACACUUGAAACCAUUUAAUAGAAAAACACUUGACCGAUUGUAUUAUUUUUA